ensembl:lncRNA
GGGGACAUGGAAAACUGCAGUGACUCAGGGAAGACACAGGGAAAUCCACAGACUUGCAGUCUGAGAGGCAGUGCCCUGGUAGAGGGGAUUAUCACCGAGGCACAGAGAUGACAGUGUCAUCCUCGCUCUGUGCCCUGCAAGCAGGGACAGAACCUUGGGCACUCACUUGUUGGGACCCCGUGGAAAUGACACAGCCUGCCAACGCCUUUGAGGCGACAGAAGAGCCCUGGGGCCCUCAGGAGUGUUUGGCUCAGAACUGCCCUCAUCUUCCUUCUCUUUCUCCAUCUCACACAGGCGCAUCUUGGAAAUGCCUGUGGACAGCGAUGAUUCCACCACCUGGGUCACAGCAAGUGAAAACAGCUGCUCUUCAAGGCCAUCGCCGUGCCCUUUGAGCACCAGUUCUGGGGAAACGGAGGCACCUUGCCCGCACCCGAAAGCCCAGGAGAACUUGGAAAGCUCCAUCCCAGAAAGGAAAGCGGAGCAGGGACUAAGCCGCAAUGCUCCUAAUGUGAAAAUGCAGGCACCACAGCACGUGGAGAAGAGAUUGUCAGAGCCUGUCCUGGGGCAGGAAGAUUCCCAGCUUCCUCAUCCAUGGAGGCACACGAGAGUGUCGAUCCGCUCACCCUUUCAGCACAGGCACAGGCACAGGCACAGGCAAGCUCGGGCAAGGAAGUCAGCAGCGCAGCACCAUGGUCAACUGCGAAAAUCUGCCUCCAUGCCAGAUGCGCACACACAAGAAAAAAAGGUUCCAGUCCAAACUGCCUCCUAUGGAGUCACUGAAGGCACUGAAGACCAGCAGAACAGGUUGAUGCGUCUAAGGCUGGAGCAGUUCCAGUAUGUUGAGAGGCAAACGGCAAAUUGUCUGCCUGGCAAGGAAGGAUCCCAGGGCGUGGCUCCAUCCAACACUGCAGGCCUGGUUGAUGCGUCUAAGGCUGGAGCAGUUCCAAUAUGUUGAGAGGCAAAAGGCAAAUUGUCUGCCUGGCAAGGAAGGGUCCCAGGGCGUGGCUCCAUCCAACACUGCAGGCCUGGUUGAUGCACAAGGAGCAACAGUGGGAGAGAGGAAUUCACCCAGGGGCAGGACCACGGCCAGGAGGCAGCACCACGGCCAGGAGGCAGCAGGGCCAGAAUAAUACUGCUGCCACCCAGCAGCAAAGGAGGCUCUUUGAACGAAUGCGAAGGAUUUUGUCAGCUGUGUGGAGGAAGCUUCUGCCACAUUGUACACAUUGUAAAUUAUUCAGGCCCCGGCCAGCACAUGCAGAGAUGAGGCCCAGGCACAUGGCAGCAGGACACAGGACACCUAGGCCAGGGACACCACCUCUACCAGGCAUCCCUCCUGUGCCUUUGCAUUCAGUGUGCCUGUGCCAAGCUCCGAGCUGCCGGCAAGGCCCUCUAUUCGAUGGUCAAGAAGAGAGGUGAGGAGCCCUCAGGAAGGGAAGACGGCCCGUAAUUAAAAACGGAUUCUCAGAGCCAACUAGGAUGGACACAGAUCGAUGUGAGACUAGAGGAUCACUCGGACUACUGGGCUAAAGGGAAAGCCCACGUCUGUGGGCUUUGUAUGUUUAAAGAAAAUAAAGUAUUUUUACUGCUUUUUGUUUGCA